rnacentral:rRNA from 1 species
CAGCCGCCGCGGUAAUACGGAGGGUGCGAGCGUUAAUCGGAAUAACUGGGCGUAAAGGGCACGCAGGCGGUUAUUUAAGUGAGGUGUGAAAGCCCCGGGCUUAACCUGGGAAUUGCAUUUCAGACUGGGUAACUAGAGUACUUUAGGGAGGGGUAGAAUUCCACGUGUAGCGGUGAAGUGCGUAGAGAUGUGGAGGAAUACCGAAGGCGAAGGCAGCCCCUUGGGAAUGUACUGACGCUCAUGUGCGAAAGCGUGGGGAGCAAACAGGAUUAGAUACCCGCGUAGUCCCUGUCUCUUAUAC